rnacentral:lncRNA from 1 species
UAAUACGAUCUAGACCCCGUGACUUCAUUUCAAAACUAGUAGCGAAGCAAUCAAGAAACAAUGACAAAAAUUAGAGAGCUAACAAGAAACUAAUAAAUACAAGGCAUACCAAACCUUGACGUCUUAACAGGAUCCCACGAAGGUGGCGACUUGUCCACUCCCACUAUAAACCAAGGCUCGGGUACCUAUAAGAACAAAUUAGAAAGACCCAUCAGCACACAGACCAUCGUAUAAGCAUAAGUAUACAACAUAAAGAUAAAGAUGAUACAAAACAAAAAAGAUGCCACUCAUUAGUAAGCGAGGUAGUCAACCUACCAUUCAGCAUGUUACAGUACUCACACUAGUUGGUAAGAUAUAAACCACGUCCACAUCAGGAGAAAAACUCAUCUAUUUGUACACAUAAAUUUUGUAAACGAAAGCACAAUCUGAUAUAUCAGCAACCAUCAAUCGCCAAUGGUAGCUAGCUCCAUUGUUUAUAUGUUCGAUACAAACGUAUUCUUGCUAUGAGAAGAAACAUCAAAAAUUAAGAUGAGAAUGCCCAGAGUUAGAAGCUUAACCUGAAUUAUUUUGAAACAAAAUAAAUGUGAAAUUAGACAACCAAGAUCAUAUCCAAAGGAGAGUCUCCAUUCACGAGUCAGGAGUGGCCAAAGCUGGCUGCUUCUCAUGUCCUUCCAUUUGUGCAAGAUUUACACUUGUUUAUAUAUAGUGACUCUACACAAAAUAGAAGAUGCACUUGUUUAUGUGGAGAAUUAAUGUAAAGUUCUUUUCAGAAUUCGACACGCGGAUUAAAGAUUCAUGCGCACUUGUCCAACCAGGCUGGCUCCUUCCCAUUAAAAACAUAACAAAAAUAACCAAUUUAUUGUACAAGUAAGUAUGAGCAAGUCGACGAACGUUUCAUGCGAUCUUAGUGUUAAGAUACAUUGCAUAGAGCUACCAUCUCUCAACCUAGAUGACAUAUUCACAUUUUACUCAAAAUUAAACAAAGGAAGGCAUCACCUCUCUAAUCAAACAGGUAAGUACAUCUUAGAAUAUUAGCUGCAGAGCAAUGCUAGCCCCAAGCAAGCAUAUUAGCAAGAGAAAUUUAGCACCAAGCAACCGUACAACCUACAAUUUCACAUCGAGUGCACAACUAUCUUGGACUACAAGUUGCAGACCUAAUCUUGUAAUCUUGUAAGUUUUCCAGUAAAUAAAUUACAUCUUCACAGAACCAACUAAUAAGAAGAACUCCGUCCAAGCUAGCACGCCAAUGGAUGGAGCAACAGGUGAAACCCUAGAAAAAGGGGAGGAGAGGAGAGGGAUGAGAUGGAACCAGUCCUUACCGACAAAUACGCCAGGUUACUAGAAGGAUAUGGAGUUCUGGACGUCGGAGGCGGCAGGAGCUAAGGAGGCAGGGCCGACGGAUUGUCUUGCUCGGCUUGGACGGAGUCGACGAAGAGCGAACGGUAGAGGGGGCGG